rnacentral:rRNA from 2 species
AGUAGGGUAUAGUCCAGGGUUACCCCGAUUUAUUGGCGGACGGGUGAGUAACUCGUGGGUAACCUGCCUGUAAGACGGGGAUAACUUCGGGAAACCGAAGCUAAUACCGGAUAAUAAAGAGAGACUCCUGUUUCUUUUUUGAAAGUCGGUUUCGGCUGACGCUUACAGAUGGGCCCGCGGCGCAUUAGCUAGUUGGUGAGGUAACGGCUCACCAAGGCCACGAUGCGUAGCCGACCUGAGAGGGUGAUCGGCCACACUGGGACUGAGACACGGCCCAGACUCCUACGGGAGGCAGCAGUAGGGAAUCUUCGGCAAUGGACGAAAGUCUGACCGAGCAACGCCGCGUGAGCGAUGAAGGCCUUCGGGUCGUAAAGCUCUGUUGUCAGAGAAGAACAAGUACCGGAGUAACUGCCGGUACCUUGACGGUACCUGACCAGAAAGCCACGGCUAACUACGUGCCAGCAGCCGCGGUAAUACGUAGGUGGCAAGCGUUAUCCGGAAUUAUUGGGCGUAAAGCGCGCGCAGGCGGUUCCUUAAGUCUGAUGUGAAAGCCCACGGCUCAACCGUGGAGGGUCAUUGGAAACUGGGGAACUUGAGUGCAGGAGAGAAAAGUGGAAUUCCACGUGUAGCGGUGAAAUGCCUACAGAUGUGGAGGAACACCAUUGGGUAAGGCGUCUUUUUGGC